CCGUCGCCCCCAGCGCGUGCCCGCCCGGCGCCCUCUAGGGUGGAAGGCUGCGGGCGUCCUACCAGUGCCAGGACUGCCAGAGCGGGAGGAGCGCGGCGCGGGCCAGCCGGGACUGCUGGACAGCGGGGUCCAGGCUAGAGGCGAGCGAGCGGUCAGUGACGGCUGUGGAGGAGGGAGGCGCUGGGCGUCAGCGCGGGACCCGAGCCUCUGGACCACUGAGCUGGGGGGCUGGCUGAGGUCCACCUCCUAACAAAUUAUUGGAAGGAAUAUGAGAAAAAUGGAGUUUCACUCUUGUCACCCAGGCUGGAGUGCAAUAGAGCGAUCAUGGCUCACUGCAACCUCUGCCCCCCGGGUUCAAGCGAUUCUCCUGCCUCAGCCUCUCAAGUAGCUGGGAUUACAAGUGCCCACCACCACGCCCAGCUAAUUUUUGUAUUUUUAGUAAAGAUGGGGUUUCACCACAUUGGCCAGGCUGGUCUCUAACUCCUGACCUCACGUGAUUCAUCCAUCUCAGCCUCCCAAAGUGCUGGGAUUACAGGCAUGAGCCACUGUGCCUGGCCUAUACUUAUAUUUUCUUCUGUGAUUUUAAUAUUUUAGUGUUUAUGUUUUGGUCUAUGAUCCAUUUUGAGUAAAUUUUUAUAUUUGGUAUAAGGUAGGGGUCCAACUUUAUUUAUUUUUGAGAUGGAGGCUUACUCUAUUGCCCAGGCAGGCAUGCAAUGGUGCGAUCCAGCUCACUGCAACCUCUGUGUCCCAGGCUCAAGUGAUUCUCCCACCUCAGCCAUCUGAGUAGCUCGGAUUACAGGCCCCAUCACUAUGGUAAUUUUUAAAUUUUUAGUAGAGACGGGGUUUCACCAUGUUGGCCAGGCUGGUCUCGAACUCAUGACCUCAAGUGAUCUGCCCGCCUCUGCCCUACAAAGUGCUGGGAUUACAGGCGUGAGCCACCGUGCCUGGCCUCCAGCUUUAUUCUUUUUUUUUUUUUUUUUUUGAGACAGAGUCUUGUUCUGUCACCCAGGCUGGAGUGCUGGAGUGCAGUGGCGCGAUCUCGGCUCACUGCAAGCUCCGCCUCCUGGGUUCACGCCAUUCUCCUGCCUCAGCCUCCCGAGUAGCUGGGACUACAGGCGCCUGCCACCACGCCUGGCUAAUUUUUUGUAUUUUUAGUAGAGAUGGGGUUUCUCCAUGUUAGCCAGGAUGGUCUCGAUCUCCUGACCUCGUGGUCUGCCUGCCUCGGCCUCCCAAAAGUGCUGGGAUUACAGGCGUGAGCGACCAUGCCCGGCCAACUUUAUUCUUUUAGAUGUGGAUGUCUAGUUGUUCCAGAAGUAUCUGUUAAAAAUGUUACUCUUUCUCCAUUGGAUUAUUUUGGCAACCUUAUAAACAAUCAAUUGACCAUAAAUGUAUGGAUUUAUUUCUGGAUUGUCAGAUCUAUUCCAGUGAUCUAAAUGUCUGUCCUUAUGCCAGUACCAUAGAGUCUUGAUUACUAUAGCUUCAUGGUAAGUUUUCAAAUCAAGAAGUGUGAGUGCUCCAAAUUUGUUUUUAUUUUUCAAGAUUAUUUUGGCUGUUCUGGCUUCUUUGGAUUUUCAUAUGUAUUUUAGGGUCAGCCUUUCAGCUGGGCAUGGUGGCUCACGCUUGUAAUCCCAGCACUUUGGGAGGAGUUCAAGAUUAGCAUGACAAAAUCCCAUCUCUACAAAACAAAAAACAAAACAAAAGAAACAUUAGCCAGGCUUGGUGGCAUGUGCCUGUGGUCCCAGCUACUCAGGAAGCUGAGUAGCUUCCCGAGGCAGGAAGAUCACUUGAGACCAGGAGGUGGAGGUUUCAGUGAGCUGAGAUCGUGCCACUGUACUCCAGCCUGGGUAAUGGAGACAGACCCUGUCUGAAAACAAAAAAAUUUUUUAAAUAGGCUUUUGUUUUUUAUUUUAUUUAAUUUUUGACACAGGGUCCACUCUGUAGCUCAGGCUGGAGUGCAGUCGUGUGAUCUCAGCUCCCUGCAUCCUCCGCCUUUUGGGUUCAAGCAGUCCUCCCGUCUCAGCCUCCCGAGUAGCUGGGACUUACAGGCGUGUGUCACCACACCCAGCUAAUUUUUGUAUUUUUAGUAGAGGUGACCAUAUUGGCCAGGCUGGUCUUGAACUGACUUCAGGUGAUCUUCCUGCCUCAGCCUCCCAAACCCAAAGUGCUGGGAUUACAGGUGUGAGCCACUGUGCUCAGCCUGUUAAUUUUUUUUUUUUUUUUUUUUUUGAGACGGAGUCUCACUCUGUCACCUAGGUUGGAAUGCAGUGGUGCCAUCUUGGCCUCACUGCAACCUCCACCUCCCAGGUCCAAGGGAUUCUCCUGCCUCAGCCUCCCAAGUAGCUGGGGUUACAGGCACGUGCCACCAUGCCUGGCUAAUCUUUUGUAUUUUUAGUAGAGAUGGGGUUUCACCGUGUUAGCCAGGACGAUCUCGAUCUCCUGACCUCAUGAUCUGCCUGCCUCGGCCUCCCAAAGUGCUGGAAUUACAGGCAUGAGCCACUGACCCUGGCCCAGGAGUAUUGCUUUAACAAUAUAAGGUUUUCUGAUUUAUAAACAAGAAUGUCUUUCCAUUUAUUUAGGUCCUUAAUUUCUUCCAACAGUCUUUUCUAGUUUUCAAUGUACAAGUUUUUUGCGCUUCUGUUACAUUUAUUCCUGGCCGGGCACGGUGGCUCCGCCUGUAAUCCCAACACUUUGGGAGGCCAAGGCAGGCGGAUCACCUGAGGUCAGGAGUUUGAAACCAGACUGAACAACAUGCAGAAACCCCAUCUCUACUAAAAAUGCAAAAUUAGCUGGGCGUGGUGGUGCAUGCCUGUAAUUCCAGCUACUUGGGAGGCUGAGGCAAGAGAAUUGCUUGAACCCGGGUGGCAGAGGUUGAGGUGAGCUGAGAUCACGCCAUUGCACUCCAGCGUGGGUAACGAGUGAAACGUCUCAAAAAAAAAAUUAUUCCUAACAUUUUAUUCUUCCUUUUUUUUUUUUUGAGACAGAGUCUCGCUCUGUCACCAGGCUGGAGUGCAGUGGCAAGAUCUCGGUUCAAGCCAUUCUCCUGCCUCAGCCUCUUGUGUAGCUGCGACUACAGGUGCAUACCACCAUGCCCAGCUAAUUUUUGUAUUUUUAGUAGAGACAGGGUUUCAUCAUGUUGGCCAGGAUGGUCUCGAUGUCUUGACCUCGUGAUCUGCCUGCCUUGGCCUCCCAAAGUGCUGGGAUUACAGGCAUGAGCCACUGUGCCCGGCCAAUUUUUUUCUUUUUGAUGCCAGCCUUUGUCCUCUGUCUUUAAGUAGGAUGACCUCAUCAUGAACAUAAUACUGUCUGGAGAUGUUUCCUUGGUUGUAAAAUGAGAAGCCUAGGGAGAUUAUUUUUAUGCUUCCUUAGUUGUCCCCUUCCCCUCCACUUUUCAGUGUUUAGUCUGUAUUUUGAGUCUGCUUGAGUGUCCCUAUGACACAUCUGCUGGUUAAUUUGCAGCCACCAGUGGGGCUUCUCUGCUGUAAAGGAGAUAAAGGACAUGGAAAGGAAUGGCUUUGGAGUCCAACAGGCCAUUGUCCUGGUAAGCCUUUUACUGGCUAUGUGAUCUUGAGGACCUUAUUUCACCUGAGCUUGUUUUUCAUUUGUUGAGUGGGGCUGUUAUUGAGGAGUCAGUAAGCGAAGUGAAUGACAGCACCUGGGGCACUGCUAGCACACUGGACCCAUUUCAUAGAUUGAUGUGCUGUAACAGCCCAGGAGGGUCUCACUCGGCCACCCUAGCAGAAAUGCAGUGCCACAAUCAUGGCUUAUAGCAGCCUCGACCUCCUGGGCUCAAGCAAUUCUCCCCCCUCAGCCUCCCAAGUACCUGAGACUACAGGUGUGUGCCACCAUGUUUUUUUUUUUUUUUUUUAAUUAUUUUUUGUAGAGAUGAGGGUCUCACUCUGUUACCCAGGCUGGUCUCCCCACUCCUGGCCUCAAGUAAUCCUUCCUCCCUCAGUCUCCCACAGUGCUGGGAUUACAGGUGGAAACCUGCACCUGGCCUCUUCCUAACUUUUCAUUGUGAACAUCCAAAAAACUACAAACGUUGAAAUCAUCUUAUUAUAUUGCUGACUCUGGAUUAAUCCGUAUCUUCUACCUCCAUAACACUAUUUCUGAUCUGGGAAAGGGCAGCUUUUCCCCCCGCCCUUCUUUUUUUUUUUUUUUUUUUUUUUGAGACGGAGUUUUGCUUGUCUCCCAGGCUGGAGUGCAAGGGCGUGAUCUCGGCUCACUGUAAUCUCCGCCUCCUGGGUUCAAGCUAUUCUCCUGCCUCAGCCUCCUGAGUAGCUGGGAUUACCAGUGCCCGCCACCACGCCCAGCUGUUUUUUUUAGUAGAGAUGGGGUUUCUCCAUGUUAGCCAAGCUGGUAUCGAACUCCUGAACUCAGGUCAUCUACCCGCCUCAGCCUCCCAAAGUGCUAGGAUUACAGGUGUGGGCCACCGUGCCCGGGGCCUAGUUUUGUAUUUUUAGCAGAGACGGGGUUUCACCAUGUUGGCCAGGCUCGUCUUGAUCCACCCAUCUUGGCUUCCCAAAGUGUUGCGAUUACAGGUGUUAGUCACCGUGCCCAGCCUCCUUCCUAUUUAAUGACUUCUGCCCCUACUUCCUGCUUUCAUCAUUGCAGUAAGAAUGCACUGGUCUAACACUUCAACCCGGCUGUCUUUAGCCAGAGGCAGAGCUUUGAAACCUGGGAAUUUACUGCUUGGAAAUGGGAUGGAAUUCUAAACAUUUCCCUUUUGAGGGUUUAUUCACAUGAAUCCUGGGCCCCUAGUCUUAGGGAGCUGGAAGGCCGUAUUUCUGGAACAGGUGUUCACUACUUCCGUUUAUCGGGUCUCAGCCAAGUAGACCUGGAGCUGCUCCCUAGCAGAAUGUGGUGCACUCUUCUGGGCGCCGCCUCCUCUCCUCCUCUUCCUAUCUCUCCUCCAACAUCCAGCUUCCAUGCUACCCUUUCCAGAAACAUUUCCAAUUCCCAUCAGCUAGGUUUUCUUUCAUGGAUUCCCUCUUGCAUUCCUUGCAUAGAUCACUUGGUGCUUUGUACUUUGUCAUGCUGUCUUCUAGACCUUAAGCUGGUUAGGUUGAGGGCAGGGCUGCAUGCUGUUCAUGUGUGCUCUGCCUGGCCUGGCACAGAUGUAGCUGCUCCAUGGAUAUCUGCGGGGUCACUGAGCUGAAGCAGGUGGAUGCUGGAUGCUUGAUACUAGAUACAUUUUCUGGGGCUGGCUCUGAUUAAUGCUGAGUGAGUUCACCUCACAUUAAGAUGCUGGUAAGGUGGCUCAUGCCUGUAAUCCCAGCAAUUUGGGAGGCCAAGGUGGAGGAUCACUUGAGUCCAGGAGUUCGAGACCAGACUGGGUAACAUAGCAAGACCCUGUCUCUAUAAAAAUUUUAAAAAGUCAGCCAGGCAUGAUGGUACACACCUUUGAGUCCCAGCUACUAGGGAGGCUGAGGUAAGAGGACUGCUUCAGCCCAUGAGUUUGAGGCUACAGUGAACUACAAUUGUGCCACUGCAUUCCAGCCUGGGUGACGAGACUGUCUUAAAAAAAAAAGAUGCUGGUUGUUUUCAGACUAAAAUAGUAGCAACAGGUCAACGUAUCUGAAAUCCUUUAGCAGUCAUAUAUGGUUAGUGUAAAUCUCUGUGAUAAAAGAAAGAUCUGGAAUUGAUACCAAAGCAGCUCAGUACUUUUUAGUGUACUAACACAUUUGUUUUAACAACUUGUUCACAGCUACUGCAAUGUUCAGAUGGAGGAUCAAUAAUCUCUCCAUUCUUUGAGCAUCUAGCAUAUUACUGGACUCAUGUGUAAUCUCUCUCAGCCUUCUAGGUUUUAUUUCCACACAUUUUCCUUCCCUUCAACCCGAUUCCAACUGACUUCUUUGUAUUCAGUUAGCAAACAGGAGUGUUCCCCUAGCUUCAUCUUCUCUGUUUUUAAAAGACGGAGUCUUUGGAGUGCAGUGGUGAGAUCCUGGCUAACUGCAACCUCCACCAGGAUCUGAUUCUCCUGCCUCAGCCUCCCAAGUAGCUGGGACGGCAGGUGCCCACCACCACGCCCUGCUGAUUUUUAGUAGAGAUGGGGGUUUCACCAUAUUGGCCAGGCUGGUCUUGAACUCCUGACCUCGUGAUCUGCCUGCCUUGGCCUCCCAAAAUGUUGGGAUUAUAGGCGUGAGCCACCAUGCCUGGCAAGUCUUGUUUUUUCCAAGAAGUUACUUGGGACUUAGGCAGAUAUGAUCCGUCUUCUUAGGUCCUCCUUCUCAUCCCUGUAAGAUGAAGGUGAUUGGAAGACCAUGAGGUCAUCCUUAAGGGGUCCUGUAUCAAGGUGUUAAGUAGGUUAUCACUUCCACCUUGACUGUUAGCUGGUACCUGCAGUACUUUUUCCCAGAACUUUGGAUAAAUUCACCAAGAUCUACUUGUGAAUACAUUAUACGUAGUAGAUUAAAGAGGCUAUAAGCUAAUGCUUUCACUUUUUCCUCUGAAUCCUAAGCAUUAGGCACUUAAAACGGGUGUACUCCAAGACAAAGAUGUGUUAUCAAGUGAAACAAAGUCAGGGUGUCUGUCUCACACAGUUUAUUUAACAAUAGGUAAUAAGAAAUCAAAUUUAACAGUCUAUACAGUGAUCCAAAG
rnacentral:lncRNA from 1 species